UACGGAGGGUGCAAGCGUUAUCCGGAUUCACUGGGUUUAAAGGGUGCGUAGGUGGGUUGGUAAGUCAGUGGUGAAAUCUCCGAGCUUAACUUGGAAACUGCCAUUGAUACUAUCAGUCUUGAAUAUUGUGGAGGUUAGCGGAAUAUGUCAUGUAGCGGUGGAAUGCUUAGAUAUGACAUAGAACACCAAUUGCGAAGGCAGCUGGCUACACAUAUAUUGACACUGAGGCACGAAAGCGUGGGGAUCAAACAGG
rnacentral:rRNA from 1 species